CGGCGAGCUGAGGAGAAAGCGGUGCGCUGUGCGGCACGGAGCUGUGCGGCGGCGGAGAUGAAUGUUCCAGAUUCAAGAGAAACUAGAAUGAUCUGGUCACUUACCAAAACUCACUGAAGCAAACCCUUGUGACAUCUCCAGUUUUACCAUAACAGGGAGAAAGGAUAUGGGGUGGCAAACAGGUUAGCAGAAAAGCCUUUGAGAAGUGGCUGGAGGAUAUAGUUGCUCUUUGCCCCCUUCUGGCAGCCCAGGGCCCUCCUUUCAGGUGCGGCCUACACUAUGGACUCCCAGGGGUACAACUGCUUUGUGGAUAGAGACAAGAUGGACACUGCUAUCCAGGACUUGGGACCUAAGGAACUGAACUGCACCGAGCUGCAAGAGCUGAAGCAGCUGGCACGCCAGGGUUACUGGGCCCACAGCCAUGCUCUGCGGGGGAAGGUGUAUCAGCGUCUGAUCCGGGACAUCCCGUGCCGCACGGUCACACCUGAUGCCAGCGUGUACAGCGACAUUGUGGGCAAGAUUGUGGGCAAGCACAGCAGCACCAGCCUGCCCCUGCCUGAGUUUGUGGACAAUACACAGGUGCCCAGCUACUGCCUGAACACACGGGGCGAGGGUGCUGUUCGGAAGAUUCUGUUGUGCAUUGCCAACCAGUUUCCUGACAUCUCCUUCUGCCCUGCCCUUCCUGCAGUCGUAGCCCUGCUGCUGCACUACAGCAUUGAUGAAGCUGAGUGCUUUGAGAAGGCCUGUCGAAUCUUGGCCUGCAAUGACCCCAGCAAGAAGCUAAUUGACCAGAGUUUUCUGGCCUUUGAGUCUUCCUGCAUGACGUUUGGGGACCUGGUGAACAAGUACUGCCAGGCAGCCCACAAGCUGAUGGUGGCCGUGUCAGAGGAUGUCCUGCAGGUCUAUGCAGACUGGCAACGCUGGCUAUUUGGGGAGCUUCCCCUCAACUACUUCGCUCGUGUCUUUGAUGUCUUUCUGGUGGAAGGUUACAAGGUGUUGUACCGUGUUGCACUGGCAAUCCUCAAGUUCUUCCACAAGGUGAGAGCUGGACAGCCACUUGAUUCAGACAACGUGAAGCAGGACAUCCGCACCUUCGUCCAUGACAUCGCCAAGACCGUGUCUCCUGAAAAGCUGCUGGAGAAAGCAUUCGCCAUCCGCCUUUUCUCUCGGAAGGAGAUUCAGCUCCUGCAGAUGGCCAAUGAGAAAGCUCUGAAGCAGAAGGGUAUCACGGUCAAGCAGAAAAGUGUUUCACUUUCUAAAAGGCAGUUUGUGCACCUGGCUGUCCAUGCGGAGAACUUCCAUUCGGAGAUUGUCAGUGUGAAGGAGAUGCGAGAUAUCUGGUCGUGGAUCCCUGAGCGAUUCGCCCUCUGUCAGCCCCUCCUGCUCUUUUCCUCCCUGCAACAUGGGUACAGCCUGACCAGGUUCUAUUUCCAAUGUGAAGGACACGAGCCCACCCUCCUGCUCAUUAAGACCACACAAAAGGAGGUGUGUGGAGCUUACCUGUCAACAGACUGGAGCGAGAGAAAUAAGUUUGGAGGCAAACUGAGCUUCUUUGGGACUGGAGAAUGCUUUGUAUUUAGGUUGCAGCCGGAGGUCCAGCGCUAUGAAUGGGUGGUCAUCAAACAUCCAGAGCUGACUAAGCCAGUGUCCUUGGAGACCACUGCCACUCCAACCCUGCUUGGCCACCCCAUGUCCUUGUCCUCAUCCUCAGAACCUGCUGACCGCCUCUCACCAUUCCUGGCCACUCGGCACUUCAACCUGCCCUCCAAGACUGAGUCCAUGUUCAUGGCUGGGGGCAAUGACUGCCUCAUCAUAGGUGGAGGGGGCGGCCAGGCUCUCUACAUCGACGGGGACCUGAACCGGGGCCGCACAGGCCACUGCGACACUUUCAACAACCAGCCCCUCUGCUCUGAGAACUUCCUCAUCGCUGCUGUGGAGGCCUGGGGCUUCCAAGAUCCUGACACCCACUGACAGGCCUGUGCUGAUGAGCCUGAAGCUUCUGCUGGGCCUUAUUGUGUACUCACGCCUGGAGAGGCCUCCCAGGAUGGCAAUGGGAGGGCCUUCUGACCUCAAACCAGCCAGCUGCAUUUUCAGGGGCCUGCCUGAAGAAGCUUGGACCCACGGAGCCUUCUCCAGUCCUCCUCCUUGCCAGCCAGAGCCUUCUUAGCUCUCCUGCAGUCUCUGUGGUGGCCCCAUUUCUCCUCCAUGUCGCUGCAGUGACCUGGUUCCCAGGAUCCCAUCCAGACGUUUCUGCGUGUCGUGUUUGUCUCAUCCAGCCCUACUCACCUCCACUUCGACGGGCCCCACAAGUCUGUACCAGUGCUUGCUCUUCCUGUGGGGUGUCCAUCUUCCCUCUGUCCACCUACUCAAAUCUCCUCUGAGCCAGACCACAGUGAGACUGAAGAAAGGACCAGGAAUCCUGUGUGGCUGAGGACAAGCCAGUGAACUUGUUUGGAACUCAGUUUCCCCAACUGUAAAAUGGGGCCAGUCUUGCUCUGCUGUCUCCCCAAAACUGUUGAAACGCUAUUAGAGGAAAGGUGCUGGGAGGCAAUGCCACUGCUUACCCAUCACCUCAGAUCACUGCAGCCCUCACCACUCCCCCUUCCUCUG